ensembl:misc_RNA Metazoa_SRP Metazoan signal recognition particle RNA
GUCGGGUGCGGUGACGCGUGCCUGUAGUCCCAGCUACUUGGGAGGCUGAGGCUGGAGGAUCGCUUGAGCCCAGGAGUUCUGGGCUGUACUGCUCUUUGCCGAUCGGGUGUCCGCACUAAGUUCGGCAUCAAUAUGGUGACCUACCGGGAGUGGGGGACCACCAGGUUACCUAAAGAGGGGAGAACCGGCCCAGGUCGCAAACGGAGCAGGUCAAAACUCCUGUGCUGAUUAGUAGUGGGAUCACGCCUGUGAAUAGUCACUGCAGCCUGGGCAACAUAGAGAUACCCGGUUU